UGUCAGAAAUUGGGGAAGAUUACUGCCUGAGACAGCACAGGGCAGCGACAGUGAGAGAUGAAGGCAACAUCAGUGUGCGCCAGAGUUUGGCAUGUUAGUGAACUGAGAUUUCUAUGUCAAGGGAUGUACUUGGUGUUGAAGAGCUGAGUUCAGAGUUCAGAGAGCAGGUGUUCAAAAGCAAGUUCAAGUCAUACAAAAGAGCCAAGAAUAACCCAAGAGCUUCCACAUAUCUCUGUAAACAGGGUUAGAGGUUGUCAGGGUCACAGGCAGGACAGAUACCUUGCACAUUUUUUUCUUAAGAAAUCUCGAU
rnacentral:lncRNA from 1 species